GUCCCCGCGUGCUCCGCCCCCGCUUCCGCUCUGCGGCCGCUGCCUCCUGGGGGAGGGUGGGUUUUCCCUGGGUCGGUGGGCGGGUUCGGCCUGUGGGGUUAGAAUCCGGACACGGCCACUAUUAGCUAUAAUUGAGGGCGUGAUCCUUCAGGGCCUGGUUUUUCGUCUCCUAAAUUCUGUGAGGAUGACCGGGGUACCGCCCUGGGGGGCGGGCGCUCCCAGGAGGCCAGCGCCCCAUAUUUAGGGGCAGCUUCGGAGCGGCGGUCAGACCACGGAAGUCGGGGCGGGGGGGGCGGGGCUUCCUAGGCCGAUGGUGGUCCAGCGGGGCGCCGUGUGAGCCCAGGCAGGGCGCCCGCGGGGCCGACGGCCGAGAGGAGGCCCCGGAGCUGUGCCCACCGGGCGGGGAGGCCUCCCGGACGUGGGGAGCGGAGCAGCGACGGGGGAGACACCAGGCAGGAGAAGAGAGCAAGGACCCUCAUUCCCAAGGGCACGACCGCUAGAGGUGCUGCUGCAGUGGCCGGAGCUACCGUGGUGUCCCGCCUGCUGUCUUUGCUCAGGUGGUUUGCUGUCACGUCUCCUUUCCCAUCACGUCGUCAACAACAAAGCUCAUUACCUGGGUAGUUGGCAUAUGCAGCUUAGUUCCCUGGACUUCGGUAGGGCUAUAGCAGUGUGUAGACGCAGCCUACGGCAGUAUCGAAUGAACGGUAGCUAAUUAUUACUAUGUAAGGAGAGAGGUAACUAAUAAAGAACGAUUAUAGCAGGCAGCGUAGCGGCCUCCCCAGCAUCUGCUCCUCUGACAGCAGGACCCGGCCUUGGCGACUCAGGGAUAGUGCCUGAUGUAAGAUGACACAACACUGGAGCAGAGAAUUUGAGGAACUUGUCCAAGGUUAUACACCCUGUCAGUGGCAGAGCUGGGAUUUGAAUACAAAAGUUUGGCUUCAAAGACAAAAGACUGCAAAAUAGAAAAAGAUAUAUGCAAUAUGGCAUUAUUUUUAGUGUCCUUUAUAUGUGUUUUUUGAGAGCAACAGCAAAAGCUGACAGAGUUGAUUCAGUCUUGUACUAUUUGGAGUAUGGUGAACUAUUACUCUUAUAAAUGGAGAACAACCAUAUCGAAUGUACCAGAUAACUUUCAGGGAAGAUUGAUGAUAAAAAUAUAUCCCAUUUUCAACAACAACAAAAAUGAAAAGUAUGCAGAAAAAUAAUAAAGUAUGACUUAUACACUUGAAAAAAAACAACCAAUGCCAACUGUCACUCUAAACCCAGAUGUUGGACUUACUAGACAAAGAUUUGAGAUCAGCUAUUUUAAAAAUGUUUGAAGAGCUAAAGGAAAUCAUUUCUAAAUAGAUAAAGGGAAAGGAAGAGGGAGAUUUGUUUACAGACAAGAAAGCAAUAUAUGCCCAUGGUGCAGAGAUAGGAGUGAUGUGGCUACAAGCUAAGGAGUGUCAGCACCUACAAGAGUUUGGAAGACACAAGGUACCAGGGUCAGGAAGCAUUUGAUUCAUCCUUUGGAAAUGGUAGUAGGAAACCAUGCAGUCUUUGGCAUUUCGAGCUACAUAAAGGAACUUUGGGUUAAGAAGAGAGGUCAGGAUCCUGUCAGCCAUGACAGAUGGAUGGCCAUGUGAGAAAAACCCACGAAGUCUCCAUGAAGAGAAAGAGCAGCAGAGGCAAAGCCACAUGACAUUGUCACCCAAGAGCUGUCCAUGACAGAGGACAGCAGGCUGGGUCCCCUAACCCUAUCAUGCUUGACCCUGGCUAAACCCAGGGACACUAAGCAUCCCAAGAUCACCUCAUCAUGGGCCAGUAAAAAGAAGCAGCUUUCCUUGAAUGAGUGCACUGUAUUGAGGGGGAUUUUAACUGAUGUGAGCAGCCCUUGCUGACUCCACAGGCUGAAGUCUGAUUGUCCCCCUGGUCCCACAAUCACCUGAUUUAGGGUAGGUACAGAUGAGGAGAUCAUCUGGCUUGGCCUCAAAGUUCUGGAUCUGGUUCCAGUUGUCCACAGUGCUAGCCUGCAGGGGGAUGCCUGCCACCUCUCUCAGUUGUAGCUGUGCCUCCAAUGCUGUGGCCAGGGCCAUACUGUCUUGCAAUGAGAGGGGAGGUCCCUGUGGGCAGAAGACAGAGGGCACUUUUAAAAUAAUUGUGGUAAAAUACACAUAACAUAAAUUUACCAUUUUAACCAUUUUUAAGUACAGUUCAGUGGCAUUAAGUACAUUCUCAUUGUUGUGCAGCCAUCACCACCAUCCAUGUCCAGAACUUUUUCAUCUUCCCAAAAUGAAACUAUGCCAUUAAACAUGAACUCCCCAUUGCCCUUUUACCCCAUCCCCUUCCACUUUCAGUCUCUAUAGAUUGAUCUUCUCUAGGUCCUGCAUAUAAAUAGAAUCACACACUAUUUGUCCUAUUGUGACUGGUUUAUUUCACUCAGCCAAAUGCCUCCAGAGUUCAUUCAUGCUGUAGCAGGGAGGCUGAAUAAUGUUCCAUCAUGUGUAUAUGUGACAUUUUGUUUGUCCAUUCAUCCAUGCAUGGAACUUGGGUUAAUUCUAAUUUUUGGCUUUUGUAAAUAAUGCUGUUAUGAACACUGGUAAGCGAGUAUUUUUCCAAGAUCCUACUU